rnacentral:rRNA from 1 species
UACGAACUGUGCAAACGUUAUUCGGAAUCACUGGGCUUAAAGGGUGCGUAGGCGGUCGUUUAAGUAGGGUGUGAAAGCCCUCGGCUCAACCGAGGAAUUGCGCCCUAAACUGGAUGGCUGGAGUGAGAUAGGGGUGUGCGGAACUUCCGGUGGAGCGGUGAAAUGUGUUGAUAUCGGAAGGAACGCCGGUGGCGAAAGCGGCACACUGGGUCUCAACUGACGCUGAGGCACGAAAGCCAGGGGAG